UACGUAGGCAGCGAGCGUUGUUCGGAGUUACUGGGCGUAAAGGGUGCGUAGGCGGUUGUUUAAGUUUGGGGUGAAAUCUCCCGGCUCAACUGGGAGGGUGCGCCGAAUACUGAAUGACUAGAGUGCGGGAGAGGAGAGUGGAAUUCCUGGUGUAGCGGUGAAAUGCGCAGAUAUCAGGAAGAACACCCGUGGCUAAGGCGGCUCUCUGGGACGGUACUGACGCUGAGACGCGAAAGCGUGGGGAGCAAACAGG
rnacentral:rRNA from 1 species